rnacentral:rRNA from 1 species
GUCUACGGCCAUACCACCCUGAACAUAUAUGAUCUCCUCUGAUCUCAGAAGCUAAGGGGUCAGGCCUGAUUAGUACUUGGAUGGGAGAAAGUACAUUUGAAGGUAAAUU